AGAGCUACACUUGGAUACUAAACACAAGUGGUCUGGAUAGAUUAUGCUGGGAAAAGAAGCCUGGAGCAGGCAGUACAGUGGGAGAACAAGACAGAAGUGCUUGCCUUGGUGAUCCAAAAAAGGCAGGAUCCGGCCGGGGGCAAGGUGAUUAUUCUGUCUGAUGAGGAGAAUAAGAGCCAGUUUGUGGUAUUGACAGAAGAAUGAAAGUAAAGUUCAACCAAUCUACAAAGGCCAAAAAUAUUUUCACAGGCCCCCAAAAGAUGAACUCCAAUCUGCUGCCCCUAAACGCAUUCUCCACUGUCUGGAAGAUGUGCAAAGGCAACGGCACAGCGUUCUCCAUCUCAAAUCCUUCAAAGUGCUGUCAGAAUAAAAGAAUCCCCACCAAAAGCCCCAGGGAAAUCUAUCUGUCUGUAUGGUAUGGUAAUGACUGAGGUUAUUCCAGAUAGGAUUCUGGGAGAAACUCAGCUAUUGAAAUCUAAUGAAUGGAACUGAGAAUUUCUUGUUAUAAUACUGUUUGUUUGAUUGAAUAUAUCCUUGCAUAUAGGAAGACAUAAAAAUAAAUAAUAAAAGCAAGAUAUUAUUUGAA
rnacentral:lncRNA from 1 species